AGAGAACAUUACAUAUAGGGAAGGAUCCAUUCGCCACUCUCCUGACCCGUAACCCCGUUCCCUUCUCUCCAAUUAUCGGCACAGAGAAGAAUGGGGAAGUCCGGUGGCCGAAAGAAGAAGAACGCGACCGCUCCUGCCGUGGCCGCCACCGCCACCGCCCCCGCCACGGCCCCGGCCCCGGCCCCCGCCGCCCCAGCGUCGCCACCUCCGCCGCCGCCACCGACGGCCUCCUCCAACGGGGUCGUGGAGAUCGACCUCUCCCUCCUCUUGAAGCGCGCCCACGGUCUCAAGGAAGAGGGCAACCGGCUAUUCCAGGCCAAGGAUUAUGCGGGCGCACUCCGGCAGUACGAGAUGGCCCUCAAGCUCACCCCCCGCAGCCACGCAGACCGCGCCGUCUUCCACAGCAAUCGCGCGGCCUGCCUCAUGCAGAUGCGCCCCGUGGACCACGAGGCCGUCGCCGCCGAGUGCUCGCUCGCCCUCCAGGCGCAACCGGGUUUCCCCCGCGCCCUCCUCCGGCGUGCCCGCGCUCUCGAGGCCCUUCGCCGCUACGACGUCGCUCUCCAGGACGUCCAUGCGCUGCUCGACCAGGACCCCUCCCACUCCGACGCCCUAGACCUUGCCCGCCGCCUCCGCGCCGCCCUCGCCCCCUCCGCCCCCUCCGCCCCUGCCGCCGCCGAUCCCGGUAGUCGUCCCUCGCCUGCGGCCCUCGGCGCCUCCGCUGUUCGAGUUGGCGCCCCGGUCGCGGGUCUCGGACCCUGCCUCCCCGCCCGCCCCAAGAAGUCAUCGCCCUCUGCACAGAAUCCACAGAAUUUCAUGACGGCCAAUAAGCCGACCUCCUCUUCUCAAAACCACCACCCACCGACCUCACCUGCUCUUUUUAAUGGUCCUGACACUAAACCCCCUCGGCAGCUUCUUUCUAAGCCGUCUAGUGCGGAGGCCUCAUCGCAACCAGUGCUGGUUGGUUCACCCGUUGACGGUUCACAGCAAAGCGCUGGAAAGGAGCCUUCUUUGAGAACGGUGGUAAACCGAUGGAGGCCGCUGAAGCUCGUGUAUGACCAUGAUAUAAGGCUUGGUCAGAUGCCAGCGUAUUGUAGCUUCAAGGUUCUAAGGGAGAUUGUAGCGAAUAGGUUUCCAUCGUCCAAGUCGGUGCUGAUCAAGUACAAGGAUGCCGAUGGUGAUCUCGUGACUGUGACCAGCACUGCCGAGUUAAGAUUGGCUGAGUCUUCUGUCGAUGAGCUCAAUAAGAAAGACAAAAAGGAUGGUACUGGAAUGGAUAUGGAUGAUAAACUACAACUGUUGAGGUUGCACAUCGUGGAGGUGUUCCCUGAGCAAGAACCUCUGAUUCAAGAAGAAGAGGAGAAGAUGCCGGAGGAUGAGGGGUUGAUAAAGACUGAUCAGAGUGUGUCGGAUUCAUCAAAUGGGGACUCCAUUGCUGAAGCAGUAAACAAUGAUGUCGUAAAGAUAGGCUCAGAGGCAGAAGAAGUUGCAAAAGAUAACGGUGAGGAUGCAAACAACGGAUGCGGCCAUGCUGAGUGUAAGGAGGCUGAGAUUGAUGAUUGGUUGUUCGAAUUUGCUCAUCUGUUCAGGAAUCAAGUUGGAAUAGACCCUGAUGCCCACUUAGACUUGCACGAACUGGGAAUGGAGCUGUGCUCUGAGGCACUCGAGGAGACAAUUACGGGAGAGGAAGCCCAAGGACUCUUUGACAUGGCAGCUGCUAAGUUCCAGGAGGUGGCAGCACUGGCCUUCUUCAACUGGGGGAAUGUGCACAUGUGUGCUGCACGAAAACGCAUCCCCCUGGAUGAGGCUUCACCCAAAGAAGUUAUGGCUGCUCAACUUCAAACAGCAUAUGAUUGGGUGCGGGAGAGAUAUGCUCUUGCUGGGCAAAAGUAUGAGGAGGCGCUUCAAAUCAAGCCCGACUUUUAUGAAGGGUUGCUUGCUUUGGGGCAGCAGCAGUUUGAAACUGCAAAGCUCCAUUGGUCCUUUGUCUUGGCUAAGAAUGUGGAUCUGUCAACAUGGGACUCUUCAGAAACAAUCAGACUUUUUGAUAGUGCAGAGGAGAAGAUGAAGUCUGCUACUGAGAUGUGGGAGAAAGUGGAGGAGCAAAGGAUUAGUGAGCUUAAAGACCUUGGAAAAAGCAAGGAGGAUGAGUUGUUAAAGAAGAGGAAGAAACAGAAAGCAAUAGAUGGUCAGGCUGAGUUGUCAGCCGAUGAAGCAGCAGAGCAAGCUGCAGCAAUGAGAUCUCAGAUACAUCUGUUUUGGGGUAACAUGCUCUUUGAGCGAUCACAACUUGAGUUUAAGCUUGGAUUUGGCAACUGGAAAAAGAAUCUUGAUGCUGCUGUUGAAAGAUUUACGCUAGCUGGGGCUUCUGAAGGAGACAUAUCUACAGUUCUGAAGAAACAUGCUUCCUGUGAAACUGAAGCCGAGUGUGAUGAGAAGAAAGUGACAAGUUCGAGCACCACUGCUUCAGAGGUAAAUUCCAAAGAUGAGGAUAAGCACAUGCUGGAGAAUUGACAUCGUAGGACUUGCAUGUUUGGUUAUAACAGAGUUUUUAAAUUGAGAUGGUAGAUCUUCUUGGCUUGGAUGAAGGACUAUCUUAACAGUUCAGCAAGGUUCUCUUAGUCCCUGGUGUGGCAAUGUUGCCUUUCCUUGUGGUUCAAUGCUUCUGCUUUUUGCUGAAGGAAGUUGGUGCUUUUUUGACUGAGAUAUCACCUGGGAUGUAUUGAGACAAUUCAGAGACAAUAGCUUGCUGUGUUUGCAGAUGUUAGGAUGUGCUGAGGUACUCAUCAUCUGUUUGUCAAAAUUCAUCUUUUUAGCCAGUUAUUUAUGUUGCAUAAUUGUCUGAUCAUGCCGUACUCCAUAGCAAUGGUGGUCUUGGUGAGACAUGUUCUACUUCUGUUAGCUUCAUCUAACAUUCUGGGAUGUACUGAGAUUUCAAAACCCAUGAGACAACUUGUUAUGUUGGUACAUUUUCUUCUCUAAACUAACUGUUAAAGAUACUUGUUUCUUACAGUUCAAA